CACAGGAGAGUGAAAGCAAUGCCAAUUAAGUGCGAAAGGAAAGCCAGACAAGUUUUUCUAGUUUUGGCAGGAAGGCAGGUCAACCUCCUGUACACAGCUCAGUGCACGCACACUGUCUCCAGCCGGAGGACGCAUGUCUGCAACCAGGAAUUAAAGACUCAAACUGCACUAAAAGAUGUCACCACCUGCUCCUCCGGUGGUCCCCAGGAAGCCGUCAGGCAUCCGAGUCAUGAUCCCUCAAACAGAGCAGCCUUCUGCUGGCGUACUGCCCGUCUACACAGACUCUGGAAAAGAGAGCGGUGCCAAUGGGGACUCUGAUCACAUGACUGCUCUGAACGCUGACAGAGAAGUGGUAAUUCUGAACCACUGCUUUGACGAUGUGGAGAGAUUCAUGAUGCGCCUGCAGCAGACAGCCGAGGCUCAGAGUGUCCUCAACCAGAGGAAGAAGAAGAAGAGAAGCAGGAAGAGCAAGAACCAGGGGGACCAAGACGGUGAGAGGUUCAGGACACAGGCUGGAUGUGUGUUACACUCAGUCAACAGGCAGGUCACAAACAAACUUUACAAAGUAAUCCAGAAAAUUCUUCACAUCUAAGAAACGGAGUCA
ensembl:lncRNA